GCCAUCGACGGGUGGGCGACCAUAUUCUUCUGUACCCUAUGCAUUACUUACAUAUUUUUGAAAGUACAGACGCACAGUUUGGUGAUCUACCCAUUUAGGACACCCUAUUCUGCUGUUUGGAGUGCUCUUCUCAUUUCAGAGCACACAUUUUGGUAUAUAUUCGUUCGCCAUGUAUAUAUGUAUUUGUUCAGGGGCACGGCGGGGCCCUGUCCCGCCAUAUGAUUCGGUUUGUCUGUUUAGAGGUCUGUAGACGUAUUUGUGGGUGUGUGUGCCUACUUCUGUACGGAUGUGUUUGCAUGACUCUAUUCGUUAUGGCAGCCUCGUCGGCGUGCAUUUUGUAUAUGUUUGUGGCAGCCUUGUCGGCGUGCAUUUGUAUAUGCGUUUUGGGCCGUUGUGCCAUUUGACAGCCUUGUCGGCUUUUGACAUAUUUGAUAGCCUUGCCGGCUUUUUGAUAUAUGUGCAUAUGUUCGGCGAUGUAUAUUCCGCCGCCUCUUCUGAUUCUGAUAUAAUGUUUUGUACGCGCAAUCGCGCAAGAUAA